UACGUAGGGGGCUAGCGUUGUCCGGAUUUAUUGGGCAUAAAGAGCGUGUAGGCGGCCAGGUAGGUCCGUUGUGAAAACUCGAGGCUCAACCUCGAGACGCCGAUGGAAACCAUCUGGCUAGAGUCCGGAAGAGGAGAGUGGAAUUCCCGGUGUAGCGGUGAAAUGCGCAGAUAUCGGGAAGAACACCCGUGGCUAAGGCGGCUCUCUAGUACGGUACUGACGCUGAGACGCGAAAGCGUGGGGAGCGAACAGG
rnacentral:rRNA from 1 species